rnacentral:rRNA from 1 species
AUUGAACGCUGGCGGCAUGCCUUACACAUGCAAGUCGACCGGCAGCACGGGAGCAAUCCUGGUGGCGAGUGGCGAACGGGUGAGUAAUAUAUCGGAACGUGCCCAAUCGUGGGGGAUAACGUAGCGAAAGCUACGCUAAUACCGCAUACGAUCUACGGAUGACAGCGGGGGAUCGCAAGACCUCGCGCGAUUGGACCGGCCGAAUUCAGAUUAGCUAGUUGGUGGGGGAAAGGCCCACCAAGGCGACGAUCUGUAGCUGGUCUGAAAGGACGACCAGGCACCGCGGAAAUGAGACAAGGUUCAGCCUCCUACGGGAGGACGCCGUUGGGAAUUUUGGAACAUGGGCGCAAAGCUUAUCCCGCAAUGCCGCGUGCAGGAUGAAGGCCUUCGGGUUGUAAACUGCUUUUGGAAGGGGGGAAACGGUUUCCACUAAUACUGGGGGCUAAUGACGGUACCGUAAGAAUAAGCACCGGCUAACUACGUGCCAGCCGCCGCAGUAA